GACGAACGCUGGCGGCGUGCUUAACACAUGCAAGUCGAACGGAAAGGCCCUGCUUUUGUGGGGUGCUCGAGUGGCGAACGGGUGAGUAACACGUGAGUAACCUGCCCUUGACUUUGGGAUAACUUCAGGAAACUGGGGCUAAUACCGGAUAGGAGCUCCUGCCGCAUGGUGGGGGUGGGAAAGUUUCGGCGGUUGGGGAUGGACUGGCGGCUUAUCAGCUCGUUGGUGGGGUAGUGGCUUACCAAGGCUUUGACGGGUAGCCGAGCUGAGAGGGUGACCGGCCACAUUGGAACUGAGCUACGGCACAGACUCGAACGGGAGGCAGCGGUGGAGAAGAUUGCACAAUGGGCGGGAGCCUGGUGCGGCAAAGCCGCGUGCGGGAAGACGGCAUUCGGGUUGUAAACCGCUUUCGCCUGUGACGAAGCGUGAAUGACGGUAAUGGGUGAAGAAGCACCGGCUAACUACGUG
rnacentral:rRNA from 1 species